rnacentral:rRNA from 1 species
GAUGAACGCUGGCGGCGUGCUUAACACAUGCAAGUCGAGCGAAGCACUUAGGUCUGAUUCUUCGGAUGAAGACUUAUUUGACUGAGCGGCGGACGGGUGAGUAACGCGUGGGUAACCUGCCUCAUACAGGGGGAUAACAGUUAGAAAUGACUGCUAAUACCGCAUAAGACCACGGUACCGCAUGGUACAGUGGUAAAAACUCCGGUGGUAUGAGAUGGACCCGCGUCUGAUUAGCUAGUUGAGGGUAACGGCCCACCAAGGCGACGAUCAGUAGCCGACUUGAGAGAGUGAUCGGCCACAUUGGGACUGAGACACGGCCCAAAUCCUACGGGAGGCAGCA